UCCUCUGUGCCCUAGCUGUGAGCAUUUCUUCCUCCUCAGAGCAGUGGUGAUACGGUAUUGUGACAGAAAGAUCCUUGGUACAACAGAUUGGCGAUAUUAGAGUUGCCCUAUUCCGGCAGCCACUUUUUGUAGCAAUCGACAGCACCUUUCCUGCCUGUUGAAUUAAGGACUUUGAUUCGAGACGAGCAUCUCGACGUCCGAGUUGGAC